AUGAACGCUAGCUACAGGCUUAACACAUGCAAGUCGAGGGGCAGCAUGGUCUUAGCUUGCUAAGGCCGAUGGCGACCGGCGCACGGGUGAGUAACACGUAUCCAACCUGCCGUCUACUCUUGGACAGCCUUCUGAAAGGAAGAUUAAUACAAGAUGGCAUCAUGAGUCCGCAUGUUCACAUGAUUAAAGGUAUUCCGGUAGACGAUGGGGAUGCGUUCCAUUAGAUAGUAGGCGGGGUAACGGCCCACCUAGUCUUCGAUGGAUAGGGGUUCUGAGAGGAAGGUCCCCCACAUUGGAACUGAGACACGGUCCAAACUCCUACGGGAGGCAGCAGUGAGGAAUAUUGGUCAAUGGGCGAGAGCCUGAACCAGCCAAGUAGCGUGAAGGAUGACUGCCCUAUGGGUUGUAAACUUCUUUUAUAAAGGAAUAAAGUCGGGUAUGGAUACCCGUUUGCAUGUACUUUAUGAAUAAGGAUCGGCUAACUCCGUGCCAGCAGCCGCGGUAAUACGGAGGAUCCGAGCGUUAUCCGGAUUUAUUGGGUUUAAAGGGAGCGUAGAUGGAUGUUUAAGUCAGUUGUGAAAGUUUGCGGCUCAACCGUAAAAUUGCAGUUGAUACUGGAUAUCUUGAGUGCAGUUGAGGCAGGCGGAAUUCGUGGUGUAGCGGUGAAAUGCUUAGAUAUCACGAAGAACUCCGAUUGCGAAGGCAGCCUGCUAAGCUGCAACUGACAUUGAGGCUCGAAAGUGUGGGUAUCAAACAGGAUUAGAUACCCUGGUAGUCCACACGGUAAACGAUGAAUACUCGCUGUUUGCGAUAUACAGCAAGCGGCCAAGCGAAAGCGUUAAGUAUUCCACCUGGGGAGUACGCCGGCAACGGUGAAACUCAAAGGAAUUGACGGGGGCCCGCACAAGCGGAGGAACAUGUGGUUUAAUUCGAUGAUACGCGAGGAACCUUACCCGGGCUUAAAUUGCAGAUGAAUUACGGUGAAAGCCGUAAGCCGCAAGGCAUCUGUGAAGGUGCUGCAUGGUUGUCGUCAGCUCGUGCCGUGAGGUGUCGGCUUAAGUGCCAUAACGAGCGCAACCCUUGUUGUCAGUUACUAACAGGUUCCGCUGAGGACUCUGACAAGACUGCCAUCGUAAGAUGUGAGGAAGGUGGGGAUGACGUCAAAUCAGCACGGCCCUUACGUCCGGGGCUACACACGUGUUACAAUGGGGGGUACAGAGGGCCGCUACCACGCGAGUGGAUGCCAAUCCCCAAAACCUCUCUCAGUUCGGACUGGAGUCUGCAACCCGACUCCACGAAGCUGGAUUCGCUAGUAAUCGCGCAUCAGCCACGGCGCGGUGAAUACGUUCCCGGGCCUUGUACACACCGCCCGUCAAGCCAUGGGAGCCGGGAGUACCUGAAGUGCGUAACCGCGAGGAGCGCCCUAGGGUAAAACUGGUGACUGGGGCU
rnacentral:rRNA from 1 species